CGCCGCGCGUGCCAUCAGCCGGGAGAUAGGUGGACCCAUCAAAUUCAGACCCCAACGUGUCCAACACAACAGACGACGAGAUCAAGGCCAUCUUUGUUUCUUGGAGGCAUACAAUGGACGCACGAGUGUUACAGAGCAGCGAACGGAUAGCGCAGCGCCGAGCGCGCGAGUUAAGGCCUCUAACAUUCCAUACAACGAUUUUCAAGCCGUAAUCCAUGAGCAAGGGAUCGACG
rnacentral:lncRNA from 1 species